rfam:Tupaia chinensis contig173120, whole genome shotgun sequence.
GCAAAGGCUCUUUUCAGAGCCAUGUACCUUGGUACUUAGGGGUUUGU